rnacentral:lncRNA from 1 species
UCAGUUCGUGUCAUUUUUAAGUAAACUAAUUAAGGCUUCUUUUGGUAUUCGGGUCCAUUGGCAUUAUUAGAUAAAAUAAAGUUAGGGUAAAGACAUACAGGAAUAUAUUUUUACAUUUUCCGGUGGGACAAUAGAAAUAUAUCGUAACCGACUUAUUGCGAUAUGCGGAACGCAAUAUUACGUAUAGAAAUAAAUAAAAUAUAUUUUUAUCGUACUUUCUUACCACACGUAACGCAAAUAUCUAAAUCGUUAUACAAACGCAAAAUAUCUAAAUCGUUAUACAAAGACAAGUCAAUGAACAACCUCACUAAACUACAAUAAUUCAAAUGUGACAAAAU